rnacentral:lncRNA from 1 species
AGUUUCCCAGAAAGCAAAUUAAUACAAGGGAUUAGGUACUUACAGGUUCUUGGGAGAGGCUGGAAGAGUGAAAGUUGGGGCUACCACUAAACUCUUGAGGUCAAGUUCUCACCACCAUAACUUUAAGCUAGAGGUUAAAAAGAUGCUGCUGCUGCUGCCAUAACUGCUUCCACUCCAAAGGCAAUUCAAUGCUGAAGUGUGGAAUCCAACCCCAAAUCCUCACAUCUUUAAUCAUUGCAGAAAUGACAGUGGUUCUGUUGCUGGAAAAGGAGUCCUGAUUCAGACCUGAAGAGAAGUUCUUAGAUCUCGCGCAGAAAGGAAUUUAAGAAUCCCUAGCAACAUGUUAUAGACUCCUGGGAUUCUGUAGAGCCCCAGUGAAGAAACUCUGAUAAGUGAUGAAGAAUACACCAAGAUAAGGU